rnacentral:misc_RNA from 1 species
UACGGAGGAUCCAAGCGUUAUCCGGAUUUAUUGGGUUUAAAGGGUGCGUAGGCGGACUAAUUAGUCAGUGGUGAAAGCCUGCAGCUUAACUGUAGAAUUGCCAUUGAUACUGUUAGUCUUGAGUUCAGUUGAGGUGGGCGGAAUGUGUCAUGUAGCGGUGAAAUGCUUAGAUAUGACACAGAACACCGAUUGCGAAGGCAGCUCGCUAAACUGAUACUGACGCUGAGGCACGAAAGCGUGGGGAGCGAACAGG